CAUAUCUCCGUACCUCACUUCCUGACACAAACAAGUUUUCACUGUUGUCAGCAACAAAGCCCUAAUAUAGCUGCGGAAGAGAAAAACUGCAUUGCAUUUUGCCUCCUGCAAGCAUCGUCAACAGUUACUGGAGGAAUGUAAUUCCAGAAAGCUUGAAAGCCGUGGUGAUGGUAAUUAUGUAUCAAAUGCUUGGUUCUAUUUCUGUUAUUAUUGUUUUGUCAUUUCUGUUCUCCCAGCGAUCUGACUGAACUCGCAGAGGGACAAAUCUGGUUUUUCUUUUUUGACUUUUGUCAAACUGAAUCAGGCCUGAUAGAAAAACUCCUUGCUCUCCGGGGAAACAAAGUAGGAGCCACGAAAUGUCAUUUUAACAGAGCGUGGGUUUGCUGACUGUAGGAAAGGAUUUGAGGACGCUCCUUCUGUUCGGCUUCCUAUGUCAUGAGCACAGGCUCCACGCACGCACAGACACCACGGCUCCCGGAUGCUGUGGCUCCGCGAUCUGUGCUCCUGCAGCGCCAGAAGCCCCUCCGGGAUGCUGCGAGGGGCUCCCGGUGGGUGGAGGUACGGACGCCGCUGCGGCCGCCGCCGCCGCCAGUCCUGCUGCUGUUGUUGCUGCUGCAGUCACGUGGGAGCCCCUUUAAGUUUCCAUAGAGAGGCCUCUCCGGUGUCACAUGAUGGACAUGAUAUAAUGAAACAACAUUGUGGAGAGGAAAGCAUUAGGGGAGCCCACGGCUACAAAAACAAGUGAGUGAGAAGAGGUGGGAGGAAGAGAAACUACGCCACCUCCCCUGCAGCCGAGCGCACGCAACAGCCUGGCGUGACAAGUGGGCGAUGCCGGGGGGGCAGGGAGCCGGGGUCCUAGACCCUGGCCGGGGACCUCACCGCCCACCGCCCACCGCGCAGAGAACAACUUUUAGCCGGCAGCCCCGGCCGGCGCGGCACCUGUCUGCGGAGUCUCCACCGCUCCUCCAGAUCAUCCCAGGGAAAUUCUCGAAGAAUACGCUCUACAAAUCUACGUGCGCAUCGUUUUCCCCUCGCAUCGCCCCCGGGAGGAAGGAACCAGGCAAGGAGCUAAGCAGCGUGUCUUUAGCCCUCCGGCAUUUUAUUAAUGCUUUUACGAGUUAGAAGAGUUGGGAUAAGGUGCCAUCUGGAGUUUCUCUGCCUUCCUGAUCUGAGCUCAGACCUGCCAAUUUACGAGAGUUGAUUGAUAACACUCCGUAACAGCUGAGAGGAACAUGGAAGAAACAGAGAUACUUUCAGUGGAACAGAAUAAACCACUGAACAGGUAA